UUUCGUUUAGUUUUUUUUUUACUCAGUCACACAAGAGGUGAAUCUGUCAGUCAGCCUUUCGUUUGCGCCAUUGACAUCACCGUCUGUUUAUCUGCAUCUGCACCUGCGUGGUCAGGGACUCCCUCAUGGGACGGGGCCUGUAGACGGUGUGGCACGUCCUCUAAUGGGUGAAUCAGCUGGCAGGUGUGCCCCAGAAGCUUCUCUGCCACCUGCACACUGGACACUUCAUAAGUGGUCUGAACUGUUUUAUUGCUUAGCUAGACAGAGAGAGACACACCUGGGCUUGCUUGAAUUAAAUGCUUAAUGGCUUGCCUGGC